rnacentral:rRNA from 1 species
UGUACUACUCAGAGUUUGAUCCUGGCUCAGAGCGAACGCUGGCGGCAGGCUUAACACAUGCAAGUCGAACGGGCGUAGCAAUACGUCAGUGGCAGACGGGUGAGUAACGCGUGGGAACAUACCUCUUGGUUCGGAACAACACAGGGAAACUUGUGCUAAUACCGGAUAAGCCCUUACGGGGAAAGAUUUAUCGCCGAGAGAUUGGCCCGCGUCUGAUUAGCUAGUUGGUGAGGUAACGGCUCACCAAGGCGACGAUCAGUAGCUGGUCUGAGAGGAUGAUCAGCCACAUUGGGACUGAGACACGGCCCAAACUCCUACGGGAGGCAGCAGUGGGGAAUAUUGGACAAUGGGCGAAAGCCUGAUCCAGCCAUGCCGCGUGAGUGAUGAAGGCCCUAGGGUUGUAAAGCUCUUUUGUGCGGGAAGAUAAUGACGGUACCGCAAGAAUAAGCCCCGGCUAACUUCGUGCCAGCCGCCGCGGUAAU